UUUAUGGAGAGUUUGAUCCUGGCUCAGGAUGAACGCUGGCGGCGUGCCUAAUACAUGCAAGUCGAGCGAACGGACGAGAAGCUUGCUUCUCUGAUGUUAGCGGCGGACGGGUGAGUAACACGUGGAUAACCUACCUAUAAGACUGGGAUAACUUCGGGAAACCGGAGCUAAUACCGGAUAAUAUUUUGAACCGCAUGGUUCAAAAGUGAAAGACGGUCUUGCUGUCACUUAUAGAUGGAUCCGCGCUGCAUUAGCUAGUUGGUAAGGUAACGGCUUACCAAGGCAACGAUGCAUAGCCGACCUGAGAGGGUGAUCGGCCACACUGGAACUGAGACACGGUCCAGACUCCUACGGGAGGCAGCAGUAGGGAAUCUUCCGCAAUGGGCGAAAGCCUGACGGAGCAACGCCGCGUGAGUGAUGAAGGUCUUCGGAUCGUAAAACUCUGUUAUUAGGGAAGAACAUAUGUGUAAGUAACUGUGCACAUCUUGACGGUACCUAAUCAGAAAGCCACGGCUAACUACGUGCCAGCAGCCGCGGUAAUACGUAGGUGGCAAGCGUUAUCCGGAAUUAUUGGGCGUAAAGCGCGCGUAGGCGGUUUUUUAAGUCUGAUGUGAAAGCCCACGGCUCAACCGUGGAGGGUCAUUGGAAACUGGAAAACUUGAGUGCAGAAGAGGAAAGUGGAAUUCCAUGUGUAGCGGUGAAAUGCGCAGAGAUAUGGAGGAACACCAGUGGCGAAGGCGACUUUCUGGUCUGUAACUGACGCUGAUGUGCGAAAGCGUGGGGAUCAAACAGGAUUAGAUACCCUGGUAGUCCACGCCGUAAACGAUGAGUGCUAAGUGUUAGGGGGUUUCCGCCCCUUAGUGCUGCAGCUAACGCAUUAAGCACUCCGCCUGGGGAGUACGACCGCAAGGUUGAAACUCAAAGGAAUUGACGGGGACCCGCACAAGCGGUGGAGCAUGUGGUUUAAUUCGAAGCAACGCGAAGAACCUUACCAAAUCUUGACAUCCUUUGACAACUCUAGAGAUAGAGCUUUCCCCUUCGGGGGACAAAGUGACAGGUGGUGCAUGGUUGUCGUCAGCUCGUGUCGUGAGAUGUUGGGUUAAGUCCCGCAACGAGCGCAACCCUUAAGCUUAGUUGCCAUCAUUAAGUUGGGCACUCUAAGUUGACUGCCGGUGACAAACCGGAGGAAGGUGGGGAUGACGUCAAAUCAUCAUGCCCCUUAUGAUUUGGGCUACACACGUGCUACAAUGGACAAUACAAAGGGCAGCGAAACCGCGAGGUCAAGCAAAUCCCAUAAAGUUGUUCUCAGUUCGGAUUGUAGUCUGCAACUCGACUACAUGAAGCUGGAAUCGCUAGUAAUCGUAGAUCAGCAUGCUACGGUGAAUACGUUCCUGGUCUUGUACACACCGCCCGUCACACCACGAGAGUUUGUAACACCCGAAGCCGGUGGAGUAACCUUUUAGGAGCUAGCCGUCGAAGGUGGGACAAAUGAUUGGGGUGAAGUCGUAACAAGGUAGCCGUAUCGGAAGGUGCGGCUGGAUCACCUCCUUU
rnacentral:rRNA from 1 species